rnacentral:other from 1 species
GAUUACCUGAGGUGUUUGCCAGGGGGUGAUGUCGCUGAGCCGAUACUGUGACUGGAGGAGUGCGUUUGUAGGUGUUGGAGUGCAUGAUUAGCGUGACUAAGAAGCCUAAAGAUAGUUAUAACUGAUUCACUGGGGACGGUGCGGGCACGGACUGAGACUGGCGGCGGCAUCUCGUGUUCUUC